UUUUUUUUUUUUUUUUUUUAAAGGGUAUCAAACGUUCAAGAAGGACUGAAAAAUUCCUUCUACCCUCAGAUCAGCCAAGUUGUAGAUUCUCCCUAGGUUGGGCAGUGUCAGACGCUCACUGCUGGUCCUUCCUGUGCCCGUGCCUAUUAUGGCACCUCUCUCCUCUCCCAAAUAAGUGUUCAAGACUAAAGCAGACUUGCCUUCCGACAAAGCAAUAAGCUCGGUGAAAGUUCCAAAUUUGGUUUGCCCUCCCCCAGGAUUUCCCUUCUGCUUUUCAAGUCUGCAGUGGCUUUUUGGCAAAGUGGACAGUGGAAUGGAAAAUCCUUUCAUUCCACAAAUACCCUAUGAGGUCAUCAUUUGCUGGAGAUGAGUUGCUAUUAAAGUGCAUCCAUCGAUCAAUAAAGGGAAGUAAGUGAGGGCAGGUCUUUCUGAAUCAGCUCUUAGUCACCUGCCCUGGCUCUUGGGGAAGGCGAGAGGGGGAUGGAAAAGAAGGCAAACAGGUCAGGGUUCAAGUGCACACUCUGCUGUAUGGGAGGUAGGAGGGAAUGACUGACAUCAGAGGGAAAGAAAUAGAGAAGAAGCCAGAGGAGAGGAUGGCCUCACAUGGCAUUUGUCUGCCAUCAAAUUGGCUGGAACAACUAGAAGCUGAGGACUGAGGCAAUUUUGCCACGCCUCAGGAUACAUCGAUCGAGUGAUUUAUUUAUAGGAAAUUUUCUCCCAUAGCACUUACUGAUUAGAAGUAUCCCUGUAACAGGGGUCCAGAGCUUCUUAAAACAGACUGGCUGAGAUUCCUUGCCUUCUCCUCUCUGGCUUCUGAGAUGGUGAUGAAGAGAUUAAAUGUAGGGACCAAAACCCAACUGUCCAAAUAGUAGGUGGUGUGCUGUUUGUAACAAAGUGUUUCUGAAGGCGAACAACCUUUAAAGGCUACUUUUUGCUUGGCGUGUUAGACCCAUACAUUCCCAUGCCUAUGCAAGGCACAACUGGAUAUUACUGUAUGGCAGUUCUAUCAUUUCUACAACUCUGGCUACUUGCCUAUAACCCUAAAGCAGGGUUUUUCAACUGCAACAAACUGAUGCUUAGGGUUAGGUGAUCCUUUCUGGCAAAAGGCUUUCCUGUGCAUUGUAGGAUGUUUAGCAGCAUCUUUGGCCUCCACUCAUUUGAGGCCAGUAGCACCCACCCCCUACUUGUGACAACCAAAAAAUGUCCCCAGAUAUUGCUAAUAACCCUUGAGAGAAUGGGGCAAAAUUGCCCCCAGUUAAGGAUCACUGUCUUUAAAAAGAAAAACCAUACCCCAUAAUUUACAUUGAAUUGGUGGGUCAAUUACAAAUCAAGUUGAACUUUCCCUUACUUAUUAAGCUUUCCUACAAAUAAAUAAUAAAUAAUAAGACCUCAUUAAGCAUAUGCCUGUAGGUCUGAGCCAUACUGGAGUCACUCUGUCGUAAGUGUUACCUGCUCUGUUUAGCCCAGUGUUGCAAUACAAUCCUUAAUAAAACCCUCCACGCAUAAAAUUUCACGUUACCACCUUUAUUUCAACUCUUCCUCUUUGCCUCUUUUUGCAGUGCCCCCUCCCACCCUCUUAACAACUAACUGACUGAAAUGCAAUUCCUCUUUGAAGAAGAUUUUUCCAAAAGGCCAUGCCUAAAGAUGUGACUCACUCAUGGUAAGGUUUCAAACAGCAGGGCUCAGGUGGCCUGGGAGGGACUUCUGCACAGGGGCCUCUCCCUGUCCUUGAAUCCUACCAGGCAGAGGCCAUUUGAUCCUGCCAUGUGUAUGGCUGGCUCUGCCAGAGCACGUACUGUCAUCAGAGACCCCUACCAACUGACAAUAGUGGUCAGCAUCUGGGGGAGCUUUGGCAGGAAACAGACCUGGUUUUGCAGUGAAUGGUAUGGUCUUAGAGGAAAUGGAAGCGUUUUGCCCCAGGAAAGGAAUAAAUGCAAUCAGUGUUCUUACAGAGCUUCUUGUCCAAGCAAUUUUGGUCGGGUUUAAGUGUGGCAGCAAAUUGAACAAAGCGUUACCAUGGUGGAUUAUGAAAUGCCGAGUCUAAAAAGGUUACCAGUAAAUGUGGGAGUUCUGGGUCAAUAAUGAGGAAUUCUGGGUGAGUGAAAGCCAAGGAAAAAUUAAUAAGACAAACCAACCCACAGCAACCUGUAGGGUUACCAUAAAGAAUGAUUCACUUGAAAACUAAAUGAGAACAGGCAGUAUAAUUUCUACCUGUGAAACUGAGGGCAAUCGUGAGUCAGAUCCCUUAAACUAUGGCUUGCUUAACAAAUAAUAUCCUGUAACCUGCCUUCACUGACUAAUUGUUCUUGCAAGUUGCAUACCCUCCAAGCUUUCCUGUAGCUUAGGCAAUAUAUCACAAGGCUCCUUUAACUGCCCCCUAUAGCUAUAACACCUAUGAUGAUGGAUCACUAUGGUAAUGGUUGAUUAAGCUGUUUUUCUGGAACUUGGAGACAGCUGCUGUCCAGUUCGAGCCCAAGCCAAUAAAGACUGGCCAGGACCACUCACCCACCCCCAACAGAGCAUGCAUGGGUGUCUGUUGGGUGCCUUUUUAAGGUCAAAGUGUCAAAAACUCCAUCCUCAGAUCAUGCGAAUGCUGCCAUUUUCUGAACAUGUGUCCCAUGGAAAAGCACAUAACUCAGAUACACCGGGGCAGAGCCGCGAUUAUCAUACCCUUUUCCUGCCUCCAAUCACCUUCCCAUGUGCCUUCCACCACCUUAUACCUUCAUCCAUAAAUAUCCCAAGCCUCUCCUUGCCUUAGGGAGGAAGAUCUGAGACUUGUUCUCCCAUUUCUUUGUUUGGCUGCCUCAUGAGUCAACCCCUUCUCUGCUGUAAACAGAGAAGUUUACUCCAUCCAGCUUGGGGCAUGUUGGGCAAAUGAACUUGUUUCGGUCACAUCUGCAUUAGCAUCAUGUUGCAAGGGUACACGUUAGGGGGUUUCCCUCUCUGAGGGGUCCUCUAGCACUUAGGCCACCUAGAGGAGGGUGUGGGCAACUGGGGCCACAGACACUAGGUCUCUAUGACAACGGAGCCUUAAAGGACAACUGGUCCCUCCAAUGGCAAAAGAUGGGCUAUUCCUUCCCAUCCUGCUACUUGAAAAGUGUGAAAAAGGAAGGAUCUGGUUGGUUAAAAAUUCUCAUGCUAUUUAUUUUGAAGAGUCUCUUCAAUUCCUAGAAACAUGUGUGUUUAUUCAAAAUAAUAAUGAAAGAAGAUGGGAGAAACUCAGAGGCAAUUCAUUCUGUGCUUCUAGCUCUCUUAAACUGGGACACUGUUCUUGUUAAGAACACAGCGUUCCUGGAGUUCCCACUGUGGCACAGCAGAAAUGAACCCAAAUAGUAUCCGUGAGGAUGCGGGUUCGAUUCCUGCCCUUGCUCAGUGGGUUAAGGAUCCCAUGUUGCUGUGAGCUGUGGUGUAGGUUGUAGGCAUGGCUCAGAUCUGGCAUUGCUGUGGCUGUGGCCAGAAGCUGUAGCUCCGAUUCAACCCCUAACCUAGGAACUUUCACAUGACAUGGGCGUGGCCCUAAAAAGCAAAAAAUAAACAACCCCCUCCCCCCAAAAAAAACCAAUGUCCUUGAAAUCUGUAGGGCCAGGGAAGUGGGGCAGCAGCAAGCUGUGAUCCAUGACUGUCAGGUUCUCGCUCUGAAAUCAGCUCUUAUCUGUCUGUGGAGACAAGCAGUCUUUCCUGUGUAUACGUAUGUGUUGACUCUUCCCUGAACCAUUUCGAGAUGUCUGCUGAAAACUGCAUCUGGCAUAUAAGUGCUUGCUGAGUUUCCAAGCUCUGUAAGGAAUGCUCCCUCCCCACAUAAAUGAUCCGCUCUGUGUAAGACAGGGCUGCUUUUUAGCUGACUUUCAAAUAUUGGGUAACUUACUCCUAGGUGAUCUCAUUCAGUUUCAAGGUUUAAAUACCAUAGGCUUUGUCCACUAGUCCAGAAUUUGACCCAAACUCUAGCUUCUUAUUCAGGAUCACAACUGGGAUGUCUCUUGGGCAUCUCAAACCUAACCUGUUUCAGACCCUUGAGUCCUGAUUGCCAUCCAGCCAACCUGUUUUUCCUGUAGUCUUCCCCAUCUCAGCACAUCAGCGCCCCGCUUUCAGGUCCCAAAUUUGGUAUUAUCCCAUUUCUUAUUACUCAUCUCUAACCCAUCAGCAAAAACUAUUGGCUCCACUUUCCAAGAACACCCAACCAGAAUCAAGCCAGUGCCUACUGCCUUCACGUCUCUCUUUGGCCCAAGCCCCGCCUUCUCUCUCACCUGAUUAAAUGCAACAGCUUCCUAACGCAUCUUCCUGCUUUCUCUCAUGCCCUUAUAUCCGCUUUCUCAGCACAGCAGCUAGAGGUGUCCUUUUAAAGCAGAUCCUCUGCUUUAGAUCCAUCCAAAGCCUUUCCAUCUUAGAGUCACGCCAGUGUCUUAUGGAGAAGAGGCCAUGGGGAUCCUCCGAUUGCAUUUCCUGGUCCCCUUCCUCUUCCCGGGUUCCAGGCCCACCAUCCUCCUUGUUUUGCCCUAAGCGCACCAGGAAUUCUUCUGCAUCUGAGUCUCCGCACUUCCUCUGACCUGUCUGGAUGGCAGCCUGACUUCCGCGCUCACUAACUUGGGGUUUCUGCUCCACAGUCAGCUUACCAGUGAGGGAGGCCUUGAGCCAACUGCCUAGAGCAGCACUGGGACCACUGCUCCCCACAAAGACCUCUCCACUGCCUCCCCGAGGUCAUUUUUCUCCCUGGCCUUUAUCACUUAUACUUUUACAUUUAUUUGUGUCCUCCAUCUCUCCUAUGAGGAUGUAAGGUUCAUGAGGGCAGGACUUCAUUUUGUUCCCUGCUGUGUCCUGAGGGCCUCUCAGUGAUGGGUACCUCCUAGUACACCCUUUUGCUAUGAAGAACCCUUUAAAUUCUAUUUAUUUAUUUUAUUUUUAUUUUUGCCUUUUCUAGGGUCGCUUCUCGAGGCAUAUGGAGGUUCCCAGGCUAGGGGUUGAAUCGGAGCUGCAGCCGCCGGACUACAACAGA
rnacentral:lncRNA from 1 species